AUGAUUAAUUUUAAAUGGCCGCGGUAUCCUAACCGUGCAAAGGUAGCAUAAUCAUUAGUUUUUUAAUUGAAAGGACAUGUUUUUAAUAAACAGGUAAAAAAAUAUUUUGCCGAAUUCCUUUUAAAAACCUAAAUUUUAAAAUUUAAAUAAAAUUAUACUAAUUUAAUCAUUAUUUCUAUUUAUUUAAAAUUAAUAAAUAUAUUUUAAUAAAAAAUUUAAAAUAAAAGAAAAUUAUAUUUAUAAUAUAAUAAAUUAUAACAUUUUUUUAAUGAUGAAAAAUUCUAAUCCUACAUUUAAUAUAUUUUAAUUUAUUUAUAAAAAUUUAUUUUAAAGCUUAUCCCCUAAAAUAUAACCAAUUACUAAUAUUUAAUUAAAUAUAUAAAAAAAUAUUCAUAAUUAACAAAUUAAAUUUUUUUCUUAAAAAACUAGAUAUAUUUAAAAACGAAUAACGUUUCAUUUCUAACUUAUUAUUUAUAGUAGUUAUUCCACAAUAAUAAAUAUAAUAAAUCAGCUCUUUUAAAUUCGAGAAUAUUUAAUAUAAAAUUAUUAUUUAAUCAACCCUGGUACCCAAGGUACUAAAAAUUAAUUAUUCUUUUAAAUAUUUAAAUUAAUUCUUUCACAAUACUAUUUCACUAUAAUAAAAUAUAUUUUUUCUAAUUAUAUAAUAAAAUCCCUAAUA